GCGCGCCCGGCGUUGGGGGGCGACAGGCUGCGGUUGUGCGCCCCUGGCGGAGCGGCUUGUAAGGACAAUCGCCUGGCUUCCCAGGCGGCGUUGCUUAGGUGUAAGUCAGUGGGCCUGGACGCGGUGAGACUGACUCCCGAGUAGCGCUGUAGGAGAAUGGCGCCACAGGUAGCAUCGUGGAAAUGAGUUUAAAAAAGCCUCUUCCUCAGUUUUUGAACUCCUCUUUCAGGAUCCUGUGGAGUGAAUGCCCGGCUUCGGCAUUUUACCUUGACUGACGGUGGCCUUACAAGCUGCCAACUCCGGAGAGAACUGCGCAGCUGCCUACAAUGUAGGGCACAGCCCAAACAGGUGUGCGUGUGCCCUGAAAUGGAGUCCGGUGCCGCAGCUGCACACCAUUUGGGAUGGCUAAGAAUGAGACAGUCUAUUUGUUGACUGCAGUGCCCCCGUGUGGAGAAACAAAAUAGGCAGCAACAAGGAAGAAGAGUGCUGAAGACAAGGAGGCUUGUGGUUUGUAUGCCCAGCGUUCAAGGGCUGUCAGUCACAAAGGCACAGAACGAAAAAAGAAAAAGAAAAGAUCAGAUGUCUCAAAGCAUUCAAAUCAGAAACAACACAGAAAAUAUAAAGGUCUGAUUUAUACAUUACUCGGACAGCGCUGACUCUUCAGCUUUGAAACGGAGAUGAGCACCACAACCCUAGAGUCGGACUCGACUGGCUUUCGAGCAAGGGGAAUGGGACCUGAGCACCUGCAGUCCAGUUCCUUAGUGCUCCGGUCAUGCCCACAUGGAUAUAGAGCCAAUGAUGUGGAUUCCUCCUACUCCCACCCCCCCAUGACCAUGUCUAUAGAUCAUCAAGCAACAGCCUCUUGAGAAGGAACCACUUCCUUUGCACCACUCCUCUUGUUGGAAAAGGGUUUAUAACAGACAGCAGUUCCCACAGUGCUGCAGUAAAAUAUAUUAAAUUUUAGGAUUUGGGCCUCUCAGUCAAUGGUGCGGA